rnacentral:snRNA from 1 species
AAAAUUUCUUAUGAAUACUGAGUAGAUAAAAAAAGAAAAAAAAAAUCUGUUCUUAUCAGUUUAAUAUCUGAUACGUCCCCUAUCUGGGGACUAUAUAUUAAAUGGAUUUUUGGAACAGGGAGAUGGAAGAAGAGCUUGCUCUGUCCACUCCACGCAUCGACCUGGUAUUGCAGUACCUCCAGGACCGGUGCAAAGUGC